UGUUGAAAGGGAAAGCGCUUGUGACCAGACUUGGGCGCGGCGGAUCAUCCGGGGUUCUCCCCGGUGCACUUCGCCGUGUCCAGGCCAGCAUCAGUUCGUCGCGGGGGAAAAAGGCUUCGGGAACGUGGCUCCCCUGGGAGUGUUAUAGCCCGUUGCAUAAUACCCUGCGGUGGACUGAGGACCGCGCAUCUGCAAGGAUGCUGGCGUAAUGGUCACCAGCGAC
rnacentral:rRNA from 1 species